rnacentral:lncRNA from 1 species
UCGACUCCGACCUGACCAGAGCGUCCCCCUCCUCUCUCUCGCCACCUCUAGACUCCCCAUGACCCCACGAAGCUGUCCCACCUCCCAAAUUUGAGCGGAGGCCGUCGUAGGCCAAUUCCCCCUUUGCUCCCAAAGCCACCGUCCGCCUUGAAGCUCGCUGCCGACGACCCUGCCCACCUCUCCGGUCAUAGUGACCACCGGAAGGAUCGCCCAGACCGUCUCCAUCUAUUACCACAUCAAGGGCCCUGAAGGAACCGCCAAAUUGCCGGCGACGAUCACUGGAGCACCGCCUCUAUCCAACCGCGAGGAAGAAGACGCGGGCGACUAGGCAAACCUGACCAAUAGGCCAGGAGGGCGAACUGACAGUGACCCCGUGUCGGCACGCAUUGACUUAUGUGGUGCUGUAAUCUUGAGAGUAUGUCUCCUCUCUCUUGAAAGCGUAUUCCAAUGAAGUGUUUUCUUUUUCUGUUUAUUAAUAAAAUCAGAAAUUUUACCACACUUUGACUAGCCUUAUCUUUUAAACUACAACUCGGAUUGAUAUGAUUCUUUUUCCCGCCUCCUUCAAAUUUCCUCUAGUUUAUUUUAGUAUUUAUUUGAAAAAUUUCCAACCAAAUUUUAGGUACUGUUUUUGGAUUGUGUGUUGAUUCAGAUAUUUCAAAAAUAGGAUUAGAGGGGAGAAUAAAACUUUCAAAGAUUUGGAGUGCACUCUACUCUUAUACAUACAAGGCAAGCAUAUUGAACACUGAUAUGAUUUGGUGAAGGGUAAAUUUUGGUGGUGCUUGAUUUGCACGAUUAUGGCGAUGAAGUGAGCAUGUUUACAUGGUGAUAAUUCAUGCAUAUUUAUUGUGCUGAAAACUUCAUCUCUAUUCAACAUGAAGUGCAUGUGACAGUAUUCACUUCUUCAGGCCACACAUGCCAAUGCUAACUGGAUGAAAUCUAGAGGAAGUUCACGUCUCGGGUAGACACGAUCGUGGGAUGGGUAUCCCGUUGUGAUGGGGAUGAUCCGUCGAGGCAUGGUGGGGCAUGAUAGGAGUGACUAUAUCAGAUAAACUGCUAAGAAAAUCUGUUGUGCUAACGAUACAGGAAAAUUAUAAGCCUCCUUAGUCGACCCUAGAUCAAGUCUUGUUCCAGUAACCUCCCCUACUUGCUUCGUACUACCACUUGUCUCUGCCAUGGGUAGGGUUAAGGAUGACAAUUUUACCCAUGGGUACGGGUACCCGUGGGUACCCUACCCGUAUGGGCAAGGUACGGGUACAAUUUUAUACCCAAGGGUAGUACCCGUACCCUAUCCGUUAAAUUAUGGACAGGGCAUGGGUAUUUUUUUACACCCGUGAGUAUACCCGUACCCUAUCCAUAUAUACGUAUAUGUGAAAUUUCUUUAAGAGUCGUUCAAUGCAGCCCAAAUAAAUGUAGCCUACGCAUUGACAGAGCAGGUCGGUCAAUGAAGAUGGCCGCUUUAACUAGAAAACAGAGCUCGUCGCUGGUAUUCUUGGUACUCCCUCCGUUCCUAAAUAUAAGUCUUUUAAGAUAUUUCACUACGAGUCUACAUACGGAGCAAAAUGAGUGAAUCUACACUCUAAAGUAUGUCUAUAUACAUCCGUAUGUAGUUUAUUAUAAAAUUUCUUUAAAGACUUAUAUUUAGGAACAGAGGGAGUAGUUUAUCUCCUCGUAUUCUUAUCCCUCAAUUAAGGAUCAAAAUUCCAGGAACUUGCCAUCUAUUCGAGCGACAUCUUAGGCUUCAAUUUAGCAUCUCCCAUUCUCCCCGUCAGCCAUCUCUCAUUCUCCCCGUCAGCCCGUCUCUAAUCAGGUUGCUGCUCCUUCCUGUAGAUCAUGCACCCCUCCCCCAUCUCUCUCUGUUUUCA